rnacentral:rRNA from 1 species
UCUGGUCCUUUUGUGCCCGCAGCCGCGGUAAUACGUAGGUGGCAAGCGUUGUCCGGAAUUCUUGGGCGUAAAGGGCGCGCAGGCGGCAUCGCAAGUCGGUCUUAAAAGUGCGGGGCUUAACCCCGUGAGGGGACCGAAACUGUGAAGCUCGAGUGUCGGAGAGGAAAGCGGAAUUCCUAGUGUAGCGGUGAAAUGCGUAGAUAUUAGGAGGAACACCAGUGGCGAAAGCGGCUUUCUGGACGACAACUGACGCUGAGGCGCGAAAGCCAGGGGAGCAAACGGG